ensembl:Y_RNA Y_RNA Y RNA
GGCUGGUCCGAGUGCAGUGGUGUUUAUAGCUACUUGAUCAUAACCAGUUACAGAUUUCUUUGUUCCUUCUUCAUGUCCACUGCUUCACCUGACUAGCCUUAA